rnacentral:rRNA from 1 species
AGAGUUUGAUCAUGGCUCAGAUUGAACGUUGGCGGCAGGCUUUAGACAUGCAAGUCGAGCGGAAACGAUACCUUCGGGUAGGCGUCGAGCGGCGGACGGGUGAGUAACGCGUAGGAAUCUACCCAGUAGCGGGGGAUAGCCCGGGGAAACUCGGAUUAAUACCGCAUACGCCCUAUGGGGGAAAGAUGGCCUCUUCUUGAAAGCUAUCGCUAUUGGAGGAGCCUGCGUUGGAUUAGCUAGUUGGUGGGGUAAAGGCCUACCAAGGCGACGAUCCAUAGCUGGUCUGAGAGGACGAUCAGCCACACUGGGACUGAGACACGGCCCAGACUCCUACGGGAGGCAGCAGUCGGGAAUAUUGGACAAUGGGCGCAAGCCUGAUCCAGCCAUGCCGCGUGUGUGAAGAAGGCCUUAGGGUUGUAAAGCACUUUCAGAAGUGAAGAAAGGCGUUGGGUGAAUAAUCUGACGUUUUGACGUUAGCUUCAGAAGAAGCACCGGCUAACUCCGUGCCAGCAGCCGCGGUAAUACGGAGGGUGCGAACGUUAAUCGGAAUUACUGGGCGUAAAGCGCGCGUAGGC